rnacentral:rRNA from 1 species
GACGAACGCUGGCGGCGUGCUUAACACAUGCAAGUCGAACGGAAAGGCCCUGCUUUUGUGGGGUGCUCGAGUGGCGAAAGGGUGAGUAACACGUGAGUAACCUGCCCUUGACUUUGGGAUAACUUCAGGAAACUGGGGCUAAUACCGGAUAGGAGCUCCUGCUGCAUGGUGGGGGUUGGAAAGUUUCGGCGGUUGGGGAUGGACUCGCGGCUUAUCAGCUUGUUGGUGGGGUAGUGGCUUACCAAGGCUUUGACGGGUAGCCGGCCUGGGAGGGUGACCGGCCACAUUGGGACUGAGAGACGGCCCAGACGCCUACGGGAGGCAGCAGUGGGGAAUAUUGCAGAAUGGGCGGAAGCCUGAGGCAGCAACGCCGCGUGCGGGAUGACGGCCUUCGGGUUGUAAACCGCUUUCGCCGGUGACGAAGCGUGAGUGACGGUAAUGAGUAAAGAAGCACCGGCUAACUACGUG